CUCAACUCCCUCUCAAACAAUGCACACUGUAUUGUUUAAUUACGUAUGAAAAUAAGAUGAAGAGAAAGAGUAGUUGUAACUCAUACGGCUGCAUAUAUUUCCAGAAAAAUAAAAGGCUUUUAUAGCCUACAUAACCUAAUGGAGCUAAACAAACUAAACUCAACUAAGCCCACGUUCCCUAAUUUUAAUCAUCCAUUAACAGGGCCCCAAAUACUCGUUCCUAACAUGACCUAUUCUACCUAGUUAUUUGACUCACAAAAUAAAAACAAAUACUAAAAUAAACUAAAAACAUAUGUCAAGAUUAAAACCUACAUUCACCCCCUUAAUCUUGACUCGUUUCUUCAUCAAAGCAGUGCCGGUUCUUCCUCUUGGAGCAAGUUUGCUUCUCUGUUGUUGUCUUUGUCAUCCCACUUUGUGCACUCAUAACUAAAGUGCCCAAAGUCUCCACAAUUAAAGCACCGAAAUCCACUUUUAUCACCUCGACCUCUUCCUCUUCCUCGGCCUCUUCCACCGCUUUCAAAGUUUCUUCCACGUCCUCUUCCGUGUCCAUUACUUUCACCAUGUUUUUGUUCACCCGCCAUCAUCAGUUGAUCAUGAUCUUCUUCCUUUUCUUCAAGGAUUUGCAGCCUUUCUUCAUAAGCUUUAACCCUUCCAACCGCUUCUUCAAAUGUCAUAGUUUCUAGAUCGGAAUACUGUUCAAUGGGAGCUACAAUGGGUAAAUACUUCUUUGGAACCGAAUUGAAAAAUUUUCUUACAAUCACCUCCUCCUCAAGAGUUGAACCAAGACUUUUGAAUUUGGCAGCAAUACCACUUAUUUUGCCCGAAAAGUCAUUGAUUGACUCAUUGUCCUUCAUCUUCAGCGUCUCCAAUUCGUUUCUCAAAAUUUGUAGCCUUGCUUUUUGCACCCGUUCGGCUCCUAUAUAACGGACCUUGAUUGAUUCCCACACUUCUUUGGCACUUUGGUGUUUAGCAACCUGCAAGAGAACAUUUUCCGGUAGAGUUUGAAAAAUUAUACCUUUAGUGGUAUAAUUUUUCUUCUCUUCAACCACAUCUUUGGUUAUAGCAUCCCAAUGUCCAUAUGCCCUUAACACAGUUUCAAUCAUAAUAGACCAAGUGGUGUAGUUAGUUUCUGUUAAUUUUGGGCAUUGAAAUGGUACAGCAGUACCUUGAACUACAAUCUCUUUUGAACCCCCUUGGUUUGAUCCUCCUUGGUUUGAUCCUCCUGCCAUUCUUCUUUCUUUUGCAAGUAAUUUGGUAAAAAGAGUUGUACCUUUCUGUUUCUUUCUUUCUCAGGUAGACAACAACGGGUUGUCACAAUCUUCUUUCUUCUUUCUUUCUUUCUUUCCUUCUUUCUUUCUAUCUUCUUUCUUCUUUCUUUCUUCUUUCUUCUUUCUUCUUUCUUCUUUCUUCACACUAGUUUUGUUGCUGUGCAGCCGAUCCUCAAACCUUCAUGCGAUUUACAUGUAAUCGCCCACCUCCUUCUUCUAAUCGAGCCUAGGCUCUGAUACCAAAUGUUGGAAAUCAGGCCCUCAACUCCCUCUCAAACAAUGCACACUGUAUUGUUUAAUUACGUAUGAAAAUAAGAUGAAGAGAAAGAGUAGUUGUAACUCAUACGGCUGCAUAUAUUUCCAGAAAAAUAAAAGGCUUUUAUAGCCUACAUAACCUAAUGGAGCUAAACAAACUAAACUCAACUAAGCCCACGUUCCCUAAUUUUAAUCAUCCAUUAACAGGGCCCCAAAUACUCGUUCCUAACAUGACCUAUUCUACCUAGUUAUUUGACUCACAAAAUAAAAA
rnacentral:lncRNA from 1 species